GACGUAGGGUGCGAGCGUUGUCCGGAGUUACUGGGCGUAAAGGGCGCGUAGGCGGGUGCCCGCGUCGCACGUGAAAGCCCCCGGCUCAACCGGGGAGGGUCGUGCGAAACGGGGUGCCUGGAGGCAGUGAGAGGCUGGUGGAAUUCCCGGUGUAGUGGUGAAAUGCGUAGAGAUCGGGAGGAACACCGGUGGCGAAGGCGGCCAGCUGGCACUGACCUGACGCUGAGGCGCGAAGGCUUGGGGAGCGAACGGG
rnacentral:rRNA from 1 species